rnacentral:sRNA from 1 species
UGACCCUUACUAAAGCCAAGGGUCACCUAGCCAACUGACGUUGUUAGUGAAUAGAAGUUUGUUCACACAUAAUAUAAGCCAAUCGCCUUAUUUGCGAUUGGCUCUUUUUUU